AGGUGCGGGGUGCCUAUACAUGCAAGUCGAGCGGUAAGGCCCCUUCGGGGGUACACGAGCGGCGGACGGCUGACCAUUUAAAAGGAACGUACCCCUAACUGAGGGAUAAGCACCGGACCCUGUGACUAAUACCGCAUGUGCUCUUCGGAGUAAAGCUACGGCGGUUAGAGAACGGCCUGCGUCCGAUUAGCUAGUUGGUGAGGUAAUAGCUCACCAAGGCGACGAUCGGUAGCUGGUCUGAGAGGAUGAUCAGCCAGACUGGGACUGAGACACGGCCCAGACUCCUACGGGAGGCAGCAGUAGGGAAUUUUCCACAAUGGGGGCAACCCUGAUGGAGCAACGCCGCGUGCAGGAUGAAUGCCUUCGGGUUGUAAACUGCUUUUAUCUGUGACGAUUAUGACGGUAGCAGAUGAAUAAGGAUCGGCUAACUCCGUGCCAGCAGCCGCGGUCAUACGGAGGAUCCAAGCGUUAUCCGGAAUU
rnacentral:rRNA from 1 species